GUAAAAUAACUCAGUUAUCAUUAAGCUAGUAUUAGGAACAUAAACUGUGACUAAGGUUUGGUGGAAGAUUUUAAUUCAGAACUUUUGAAAACAAGACAUUUGUGCUCAAAGCCAAAGCCGGUUUCGGUCGGGUUGGUAAUGAAAGGGUGAUGACAUCAAGCUGGCAGAAUCGUUAGCAUGCUGG